rnacentral:misc_RNA from 1 species
GUGAAUCAUCGAAUCUUUGAACGCAUCUUGCGCUCCUCGGAAUUCCGAGGAGCAUGCCUGUUUGAGUGUCAUUAAUAUUCUCGACCUCCUUGUUAGGUCGGAUCUUGGAUGUUGCUGGCUCGCUCGUCCGAGUCGGCUCGUCUUGAAAUGCAUAUAGCUUGGUUCCGUAAUGUUAUUGUGGAAGGCCGAUGGCUCGUGAUAAGUGAAAGUGUCUUACGACGCUCGAAUUGUUCGGGUAUUCGUCCUUCUUUUCAUGCGGGCUGCUUCUGUGAAAACCCCACAUCUUCUUAUAUUGACCUCAAAUCAGGUAGGAUUACCCGCUGAACUUAAGCAUAUCAAUAAGCGGAGGA